rnacentral:rRNA from 1 species
AGAUUGAACGCUAGCGGGAUGCUUUACACAUGCAAGUCGAACGGCAGCGCGGACUUCGGUCUGGCGGCGAGUGGCGAACGGGUGAGUAAUAUAUCGGAACGUGCCCAGUAGCGGGGGAUAACUACGCGAAAGCGUGGCUAAUACCGCAUACGCCCUACGGGGGAAAGGGGGGAUCGCAAGACCUCUCACUAUUGGAGCGGCCGAUAUCAGAUUAGCUAGUUGGUGAGGUAAAGGCUCACCAAGGCGACGAUCUGUAGCUGGUUUGAGAGGACGACCAGCCACACUGGGACUGAGACACGGCCCAGACUCCUACGGGAGCAGCAGUGGGGAAUUUGGACAAUGGGGGAAACCUGAUCCAGCCAUCCCGCGUGUGCGAUGAAGGCCUUCGGGUUG